CCUCACACUCACGGGGUCGGCGCUGAGGGCCGAUCCUCUGAGAGGGCGCUGAGGGCCGGGGAUCCCCCUCCCGGACGGGGCUGCGGGUCGAUCCCCCGAGCGGGCGCUGAGGGCCGGGACCCCACUCGGGAGCACGGCUGAGGGCCGGGCCCCCCGGCGACCCCGCAGGCCGCCCCCAGCCCAAGUUCCGCGCCGAGCGGCGGCGCCAAGUUCCCGGAGCAACAGCGCGGCCGCCGCCCGCCGGCUAACGGUCCGCCGCCAGUGUCCUGGCAGGCACCAUGACAUCCCACCGGAAUGGCGCGUGGCCGGGAGUGUGUGCACCGCCUGUGCUCUCCAGAGGUGCUGGGAAUGUGGCUCCAGGCCUCUGCGAGUAAAUGCUACUUCGCUUCUGUUUGAACACAGCAGAGCUGAACAUAUGUGCACUUUCAGUCAUGACAACAUUUCGGGGCUGGGGGACACUCAGCCUGCAGAGGGCACCUCACCAUGUCGGGGGGCUCAGGAUCGAGACCCCGCACCACACAGGCUCACCAUACACCCGAGUUCAAGCCCCUGGUCCCCACCUGCAGGGGGAAAGCUUCAUGAGUGGUGAAGCAGGGCUGCAGGCGUCUCUCUGUCUGUCUCCCUCUCUAUGUAUUUCUGUCUCCAUCCAAUAAUAGAUAAAUAAAAAUAAAUGUUA